AUUGAACGCUGGCGGCAUGCCUUACACAUGCAAGUCGAACGGCAGCAUAGGAGCUUGCUCCUGAUGGCGAGUGGCGAACGGGUGAGUAAUAUAUCGGAACGUGCCCUAGAGUGGGGGAUAACUAGUCGAAAGACUAGCUAAUACCGCAUACGAUCUACGGAUGAAAGUGGGGGAUCGCAAGACCUGAUGCUCCUGGAGCGGCCGAUAUCUGAUUAGCUAGUUGGUGGGGUAAAAGCCUACCAAGGCAACGAUCAGUAGCUGGUCUGAGAGGACGACCAGCCACACUGGGACUGAGACACGGCCCAGACUCCUACGGGAGGCAGCAGUGGGGAAUUUUGGACAGUGGGGGCAACCCUGAUCCAGCAAUGCCGCGUGAGUGAAGAAGGCCUUCGGGUUGUAAAGCUCUUUUGUCAGGGAAGAAACGGUAGUAGCGAAUAACUACUACUAAUGACGGUACCUGAAGAAUAAGCACCGGCUAACUACGUGCCAGCCGCCGCCGUAA
rnacentral:rRNA from 1 species